rnacentral:rRNA from 1 species
ACGAACGCUGGCGGCGUGUCUAAGGCAUGCAAGUCGAACGAUCUGUCGUUCUUCGGAGUGACAGAGAGUGGCAAACGGGAGCGUAACACAUUGGUAACCUACCUCGAGGUCGUGAAUAAUUCCGCGAAAGCGGGACUAAUACACGAUAUGGAUGGGGGGUCAUAUGACAUUCCCAUUGAAAGUUCCGACGCCUCGAGAGGGGCCUAUGUCCUAUCAGCUAGUUGGUGAGGUAAAAGCCCACCAAGGCUAUGACGGGUAUCGGGCGUGAGAGCGUGGCCCGACUCACUGGGACUGAGACACUGCCCAGACACCUACGGGUGGCUGCAGUCGAGAAUAUUCCGCAAUGGGCGAAAGCCUGACGGAGCGACGCCGCGUGCCGGAAGAAGGCCUUCGGGUUGUAAACGGCUUUUCUUAGGGACGAACAAAUGACGGUACCUAAGGAAUCAGGGGUUGCUAACUCUGU